AUGAAGUGCACUCAUGAUAUGU
rnacentral:miRNA from 1 species